rnacentral:rRNA from 1 species
ACGGGAGGCAGCAGUAGGGAAUCUUCCGCAAUGGACGAAAGUCUGACGGAGCAACGCCGCGUGAGUGAUGAAGGUUUUCGGAUCGUAAAACUCUGUUGUUAGGGAAGAACAAGUAUCGGAGUAACUGCCGGUACCUUGACGGUACCUAACCAGAAAGCCACGGCUAACUACGUGCCAGCAGCCGCGGUAAUA